rnacentral:rRNA from 1 species
UACGGAGGAUGCGAGCGUUAUCCGGAUUUAUUGGGUUUAAAGGGUGCGCAGGCGGCACGGCAAGCCGGCGGUCAAAUCGCGGGGCUCAACCCCGCCCAGCCGUCGGAACUGCCGGGCUAGAGUGGGCGAGAAGUGCGCGGAAUGCGUGGUGUAGCGGUGAAAUGCAUAGAUAUCACGCAGAACUCCGAUUGCGAAGGCAGUGCACCGGCGCCCUACUGACGCUCAGGCACGAAAGCGUGGGUAUCGAACAGG